rnacentral:rRNA from 1 species
GAUGAACGCUGGCGGCGUGCCUAAUACAUGCGAGUCGAGCGAACGGACGAGAAGCUUGCUUCUCUGAUGUUAGCGGCGGACGGGUGAGUAACACGUGGAUAACCUACCUAUAAGACUGGGAUAACUUCGGGAAACCGUAGCUAAUACCGGAUAAUAUUUUGAACCGCAUGGUUCAAAAGUGAAAGACGGUCUUGCUGUCACUUAUAGAUGGAUCCGCGCUGCAUUAGCUAGUUGGUAAGGUAACGGCUUACCAAGGCAACGAUGCAUAGCCGACCUGAGAGGGUGAUCGGCCACACUGGAACUGAGACACGGUCCAGACUCCUACGGUAGGCAGCAGUAGGGAAUCUUCCGCAAUGGGCGAAAGCCUGACGGAGCAACGCCGCGUGAGUGAUGAAGGUCUUCGGAUCGUAAAACUCUGUUAUUAGGGAAGAACAUAUGUGUAAGUAACUGUGCACAUCUUGACGGUACCUAAUCAGAAAGCCACGGCUAACUACGUG